UUAGGUGUGCUUUAGAUGUUGGAUACCUUUGUCAUUGUACGUAUUUGUCUCACCAAGACUUUCACCUUUAAUAUUUUCAAGACUUUAAUAUGCAGUUGGUACAAAUGUACUGUUUUCAUUUGAGGCCUUUAAUGCAUGAUCUUUUUAAGAUCAUUCAUAUUUUUUUGUACAUGUUACUAUUUUGUGAUACGCCACACAGUAUCUCCCAUGUAGCAACAUUGAUAUUUCUGGAUGAAGGAUAGUACCUUUCUUUUCUGGAACAGGUUUGGCUUUACCUUUUGGAACCUCAGGUUCUGCAUGGGACGAGACAUAAUUGAGGAAAAAGAAAUACAUCAGUACUGUUAUUUCUGAAAUAUAUUUGCAGAGGCAGCAGGCAUGUUUAGGAAGGGCUGCCAUGCAAUUCAAGACGUUUCCUGAGUUCGAGUUCCGAAUUUGCCAAAGAUAUUCAAGCAGAAGAGCAUGUUUGGCAAAGGAGUCAAGCAGUAUCCGUGCGUACACCUCCCAUUCCAUUCCAAAGGAAGACAGGUAAUGUAAGGGGAGAUGAUAGGUUGACAGCAAGCAAGUGCCACAGCGGAAGAGGACAACUCAGUUUCAGCCAAGCGUUUAUAUGAGAGGGGCAUCGCAAAUUCGUUAAGAAAAUGUAACGCAGAUAUGUUUUAAAGCAUAUUUGUGUAUAUGUACACCUUUUACGGCUGGUUUGGCUUUCUCCUUUGGAACCACAGUUUCUGCAUCGGACAAAAGAUAAUUGAAGUGAAAAGCAGAACUGAAGAGCAUUGUUUCUGAAAAUAUUAGGAGCGGCAGUAGAGGUGGCUCAUAAAAUUUGCUGUUUGAAACCUAAGCAUUUAGUAGAGAUACCUUUUAUAGCUGGUUUGACUUUCUCCUUUGGAACCUCGUGUUCUGAGUUGGCAAAACAUAAUUGAUAAAAAAAAAGAAUGACAGUACUAUUAUUUCUGAAAUAUAUCAGCAGGGGCUGUAGAUGGUAAGUUUGGGGUGCCAUGCAAAUUAAGGCAUGAGAAAAGGGAGCCUAUUUAUGUUUUAAAGCAUAUAUACAUGUACUGUAUGUACACCUUUUACGACAAAACAAUAGAGCAAAAGAUAACUUAGAUGAAAAGCUAACCUCAAGAGCAUUAGUGUUAUUUCUGAAAAUAUAUGCAGCAGCAGUUAGGCAUGGCCCAUAACAUUUGCUGUUCUCAACUUAAGCAUUUAGUAGAUACCUUUCUUAGCUGGCUUGGCCUUCUCCUUGGGAGGUUCAGGCUCUGAAUGAAAUACGAAAUACAGUAUGUUUUUCUGAGAAUCUAGAGUAGCAUGUUUUACUGUGUGAAAAAUAGUUUCAAAGAUACACUUCUUCAGUGUUCUUUAGUGUUUUUAUUGUGUUUGUCUGAAAAAUCAGACACUGAUUUUAAGUAGAAAUAUUUCUGUGGAAGGUUACUUAGGUUUUAUGACUGUUCCAGUGAAAACAAUACCUUUUACAACUGGUUUGGAUUUCUCCUUUGGAAUAUCGGGUUCUGAAGUCGGCAAAACAUAAUUGAUAAAAAAAGAACGACAUAGUACUGUUAUUUCUGAAAUAUAUCAACAGGGGCUGUAGAUGUGUUUGGUUACGGGUGCCAUGCAAAUUAAGGCAUGAGAAGAUGUAGCACAGCUAUGUUUUAAAGCAUAUAAAGCAUAUAUGCAUGUAUGUACACCUUUUACGACUGGUUUGGGUUUCUCCUUUGGAACCUCGGGUUCUGCAUUGAACAAAAGAUCAUUUAGAUGAAAAGCUAAACUCAUGAGCAUUAGUGUUAUUUCUGAAAAUAUAUGCAGCAGCAGUUAGACAUGGCUCAUAACAUUUGCUGUUCUCAACUGAAGCAUUCAGUAGAUAUACCUUUCUUAGCUGGUUUGGCCUUCUCCUUGGGAGGUUCAGGCUCUAAAUAAAUACUAAAAACAGAGUGUCUCUUUCUGAGGUUCUAAAGUUGCGAUGUUUACUGUGUGAAAACUGGUUUCAAAGAUACACUUCUUUUACUGUCGUUCUUAGUGUCUGUAGCGUACUUAGAUGAGUAUACAGACACUAAUUUUAAGGAUAAAUAUUCCAGUGGUGGGUUAGGUUUCAUGACUGUAAAAUAAAAAAAUACCUUUUAUAGCUGGUUUGAGUUUCUCCUUUGGAACCUUGGAUUCUGAGUUCGGCAAAACAAAAUUGAUAAAAAAAAAGAAUGACAUAGUACUGUUAUUUCUGAAAUAUAUCAGCAGGGGCUGUAGAUGUGUUUAGUUACUGGUGCCAUGCAAAUUAAGGCAUGAGAAAAGGUAGCACAGCUAUGUUUUAAAGCAUAUAUGCAUGUAUGUACACCUUUUACGACUGGUUUGGGUUUCUCCUUUGGAACCUCGGGUUCUGCAUUGAACAAAAGAUCAUUUAGAUGGAAUGCUAAACUCAUGAGCAUUAGUGUUUUUUUUCUGAAAAGUAAGCAGCAGCAGUUAGACAUGGCUCAUAACAUUUGCUGUUCUCAACUUAAGCAUUUAGUAGAUACCUUUCUUAGCUGGUUUGGCCUUCUCCUUGGGAGGUUCAGGCUCUGAAUGAGAUACGAAAUACAGUAUGUUUUUCUGAGAAUCUAGAGUAGCAUUUUUUACUGUGUGAAAAAAAUAGUUUCAAAGAUACACUUCUUCAGUGUUCUUUAGUGUUUGUCUGAAAAAUCAGACACUGAUUUUAAGUAGAAAUAUUUUCUGGCAGGUUACUUAGGUUUUAUGACUGUUCCAUUGAAAACAAUACCUUUUAUAGCUGGUUUGGAUUUCUCCUUUGGAACCUCGGGUUCUGAAGUCGGCAAAACAUAAUUGAUAAAAAAAGAAUGACAUAGCACUGUUAUUUCUGAAAUAUAUCAGCAGGGGCUGUAAAUGUGUUUAGUUACUGGUGCCAUGCAAAUUAAGGCAUGAGAAAAGGGAGCACAGCUAUGUUUUAAAGCAUAUAAAGCAUAUAUGCAUGUAUGUACACCUUUUACGACUGGUUUGGGUUUCUCCUUUGGAACCUCAGGUUCUGCAUUGAACAAAAGAUAAUUUAGAUGAACAGCUAAACUGAAGAGCAUUUAAUGUUUUUUUUUUCUGAAAAUAUAAGCAGCAGCAGUUAGACAUGGCUCAUAACAUUUGCUGUUCUCAACGGAAGCAUUUAGUAGAGAUACCGUUCUUAGCUGGUUUGGCCUGAAUAAAAUACGAGAAACAGAGUGUCUCUUUCUGAGGUUCUAAAGUUGCGAUGUUUACUGUGUGAAAACUGGUUUCAAAGAUACACUUCUUUUAGUGUUGCUCAUAAUGCUACUCUGUAAUUGUCUGAAUAAUCAGAAGCUGGGUCAAUGUUCCUGUGGCAGGUACAGUGUUCUAUUAAAAAAAAAAAAACCUUUUAAAACUGGCUUGACUUCCUCCUUUGGAACCUUGGGUUCUGCAUUGGCAAAACAUAUUUUUAGGCCACAACUGAAGAGCAGAGUUAGUUCUGAGAUAUAUUAACAGUGGCAUUGCUGGUGUAAAUAUGCUAACAGUGGCAUUUCUGAUAUACAUUUAUUAAUAGUGGCAGUUGGGGAGUUUUGCACUCUGAAAAUAGAUAACGAGAGAUGCCUUUCCCAACUGGUUUAGCCUUCUCCUUUGGAGGUUCAAGUUUCAAGAUAUGAGAAAAACUGAUUUAAACAAGUAGAAAAUCCUAAUAUAAACCUUUUAUUAAUUUGUAUUAGUAAGGUUAUGUGUCUUUAUAGGGCUGUGUUUAUUGACAUAGGCCUAAUUACUGACUAAUGAGUAGGUCAGUUGUUUUAGUGGAAAGCGUAGGGUAUGUAUGUCUGUGUCAGGUAUGUUUUGUAUGUCUUGAAGCCAUUUAGCAAGUUAAGCAAAAAAUGUCACCUUUCACUUCAGGUUUGGGUUUCUCCUUUGGAAUUUCUGUAUUAGGAGGAAGGGCAUCAUUUCCAUGAUCAUUACCACCAUCAUCAUUACAAUCAGAAUUCUCUUGUGUUAAUUAGACGUAAUACUUUUUUUUAAUAAAUGAAGUGCAUCACACCAAUGUCCUUCUCUAUAUAGGAAUAUAUGAAGGUUUUGUCAUGGCAGACAUGGUAAGAAGAUUACCUUUCUUCACAACUGGUCCAGUGAUGUUCUUCAUAGAUUCAAGUUCUAUGGUAGAAAGGAAUUGUAUUUGUAAAUAGCUAUAGGUUUGAAUAGGACAGUAUGUAGAGAUGGUGGGUGUUAUCCAAUAGUUUGAAAUAGAGAGGAUGCAUGUUGGAAGAAAACUUCAUUCAAACUGGCUUGGGUGUAAACUAAAUUGAAAUUAGUACCUAUUUUGGUUGGAGUCGGUCUUGCUUUUGGUACCACAACCACCGUGUCACAAAAAAUAGUCAUUCAUCAGAACAUCAUCUCAACAUAAUAGGACUUUCUUAAGGCACAAACAGUUUAGGAUACACGAUUGGGCCAGACAACAUAGUCACCACAGACAUGUUUAAAACACAAAAAUCACCUUUCUUUGUCGGUUUUGGUUUGUCCUUUGAAGCCACAGGUUCUGACAAAGAUAAAGUAUUAUAACAUCACUCUGUAGUCCGACUGUUUCUCAGGCAACUAGAUUGUUUGCAGUAUGAUUUCCACUUUAGUAUAAGUUAGCAUUAGUCUUAUAAUUUAUAUGCAUUGCUUGUUAUUUGAUAUUGGAGUACAAACUAAAUACAGAGAGAAAUGGUGAGAGCAAAACAUUCAUUACCUUUCACAGGUGGUGCUGGCUUAGCUUUCUCCUUUGGAACCUCUGCUUCUACCGUAGGCGAGAAAUUAUUGUCAAUGCAAAUUUCAUGGCAAUUUUGGGUCAAAUACAACAAGCGGAGUGCAGAAAAGGAAAAUCAUAACUGGGAUGCCCAGAAGAAGCAUAACUUCUCCAUUGCACGGUUAGUAUCAGAUAUCCAGUUCAUUAAAACUGGGAUGUUUGUUCACUAAAGAUAACAGUAUUAUUGAUGUUUAGAAGGAAAGUUUUAAAGACAAAGUCCACGAUUCUAAUCCAGUAUAUUUUUGGCCAUAUUCAGCUAAUUGCUAAUUGUCUGAUGAGCUCAAAUAUAUGCCGCAUUUUACCAGAAUCGUAGACAGCACCUUUAAUUUUGCAUAGCAGAAAAUGAGGCAGCUCCUAAACAGCAUGAACAACCUUUUUUCAUGUCUUUUGUUCUUUGGGAUACCCUGCUGUUUAGUGAAAGCGCAAACACAUCACUCUAUUAUGUUCUUGUCUAUUGAGGGAAACAGGACAAAUGUUGAUGAUUUAAAAACUCGAACAAAGCUUCAAAGGCCGCGGCAUGUACAUGUUUGGUUGAAAGCAAAAUGAAAGUAGAUCAUUGUGUUCCACUCUACUGUAGUCACCCAAAGCACUGUUGAAUUAGAGUGCAAAUUAAUUGGGCAGAUAAAAAGGCUUUCAUGGCCUUAGGUUAGUGUUUCAGGCUAAACUAAUUAGCUGUAGCUUUUAUGUAGAGAUGUUAUGUCCUUUUCUUUGCUGGUAUGACUCUUUCCUUUGGAAGCCAGGCUCUGGGACUCGUAGAAUUAUAUGAAAACUCCAAUAAGUAAUGUACUAAUCUCUAAAAACAAGCUGGUUCAAGUGAUCAAAGUGACCUUGUAAGCACAGCAUAAAGUAUUGUUCAUACCAUACCUUUCUUACCUUGGGUUCUAAAUUAUGACAGAGCAGACAAUUCAAGCAGUAUAGUACAUCAUUCGAACAGCCAUUCUAACAUGCCGGACUCAGAAAUGAGCAAAAUCCAACUAUUUUGACUUUAAAGAAAUGCUGUUAAACAUAAACCAACAGAGCUUGGGGCAGCAUAAUGUAAAGCUGAGAUAAAAUGCAUUGUGAAAUCAAAUCUAUCUACUAUUAGAUUGCUUUCAUUAAAAUAAAUCAAGAUCUUGCAUGUUAUAAAAACUCUAACCAAGCAAAGAGAUGCCUUAAAACACACACACACACACACGCACACACACACACAAACACACAGUAAGAUUCAAACUCAAAGCCAUUACAUUUAACACAGAGGUAGAUGGCUUUACUAUAGCAAGUUUUGAGCUGACUGUCUUGUAUGCGAUAAGCACUACUGGGCAAAGCUCAAGUAUAUCUUAAUUAAUAUGUAAUAUUAUUAAUAUGCUGUACCUGUCUUUACAGGUUUGGCCUUCUCUUUUGGAACCUCAGGUUCUAUAGGAAAAGAUAACAUGCAGUUUUGUUGUGUUUUGCCUUUUAGUUUUUAGUCUAGACACUUUUUAAUGAACCAAAAGUGUAUAGAAGGUGAUCAAUCUUGUUUUAACAGUUGAUCUUACCAUCUUACUUCUUGGUCAGCAAAUUAUCACCACAAAUAAACCUUUCGUAUCUGUAGCUAUGCAAGUCAUAUAGGUAAAGAUAUGUUUAUUUUAUUAAGGCCAAGAGGUUCGAUUGAGUUUAGUUUUGAUACACAUAGCAUACAUCCCCCUAUCAUACCUUUCACAGCAGGCAUUGGCUUGACCUUUUUCUUUGGCUCGGGUUCUACAUACCAAACACAACAAAGAGGUUUGUUCAAAAGUAUUGGAGGGUGGAUUAACUCAUCUGUCUGAGGUGAGAACAUUUCACUGUUGUUUCAUUUACAUUUACUCCUUUGGCUGUAAAUGUUACUUUGGCAUAUUAUAGAGGCAGACCCUCUUUUCAAAAGCAACUUGCAGUACAGUGCUGAUAAUCAUAUCCACUGGCACUGUAUGUACUUGCUCUAGCGGUUAAGCUACGAGAGCAUUAGCAAGCAACAGGACUUUCACUCUGACUUGUCCUUUCAAUUCAAAGGAUUGGUAAUAAUACAAAUUCUGCAUUGAAAGUUGCAAAUAGGAAUUAUGUAUUGUUUUUUUUUAUUCAAUCAUUUAUCAUCAAAACGUAAGUGCUCUGAGAGUACAUGGCAUGUGUUAUGUGUUGCCUCUUGCUUUCCAGCUUAGCUUGGCCAGUGAAUGAUAUGUGCCAUGAUAUGAGCUAUGAUAUGAGCUAUGUGCUCAAACCAACCCCAUUAUAGUUGCAUAGUCUGGACACCUCUGUACUUAGUACCUUUAGACAGUCAACACACCCUCCCACGUGAACUCACUUGUUUGAUGAGUUUUGCGCGACCAAAGGUCGUUUGUGUUAAUACCUUUCUUUGCUGGUUUUGCCUUCUCUUUUGGAGCCUCGGGUUCUGCUUGGCACAGGAAAAUAACAACAUUUAUAGUUUGAACUUAUUGUAUGCUGCAAAGUUCAUAGCUGCAUUGAAGAUGAGAAAGCACCUUCAUCUAUUUGUUGUGUAAUCUUUGUACUAAUUGCUACAUAAAAACAACAUUAUCAGAAUUAGAAAUGAUGACCUGACACAACAUAUUGCAACUGGACCACAGUGGUAGCUUCAAACUAAAUUUAUGUAUUGAUAAUAUUCAAGCACCAACUAAAUUUGGCAGUUUUUGUUAAAUUAAGCAUGUUAAGCAAGAAAUAAUGAAUCACUACUCAGGGUGUUAUUUAUGCACAAAAAUGAUAUGAAAAUGGUAAUUUCUUGUUAAUAACAAUAAAUCAUUACACACGAUUUAGAUCUUACCUUUCUUUACCUUCACUUUGGCUGGCUUAGCCUUCUCCUUCACAGGUUCUGCUUUAGCCUUCUCCUUCACAGGUUCUGGCUUAGCUUUCUCCUUUACAGCUUCUGGCUUAGCCUUCUCCUUUACAGCUUCUGGCUUACCCUUCUUUACAGCUUCUGGCUUAGUCUUCUUUACAGGGGUGGGUUCUGCUUUAGCCUUCUCCUUUGCAGGUUCUGGCUUAGCUUUCUCCUUUACAGCUUCUUGCUUAGCUUUUUCCUUUACAGCUUCUUGCUUAGCUUUCUCCUUUGCAGGUUCUGGCUUAGCUUUCUCCUUCACAGGUUCUGGUUUAGCUUUCUCCUUUACAGGGACGGGUUCUGCUUUAGCCUUCUCCUUCACAGGUUCUGCUUUAGCCUUCUCCUUCACAGGUUCUGCUUUAGCCUUCUCCUUCACAGGUUCUGCUUUAGCCUUCUCCUUUGCAGGGUCUGGUUUAGCUUCAUCCUUUACAGGUGCAGGUUCUGGCUUAGCCUUCCUUAUAGGGGUGGGUUCUGCUUUAGCCUUCUCCUUUGCAGGGUCUGGCUUAGUCUUCUUUACAGGGGUGGGUUCUGCUUUAGCCUUCUCCUUUGCAGGUUCUGCUUUAGCCUUCUCCUUCACAGGUUCUGCUUUAGCCUUCUCCUUUGCAGGGUCUGGCUUAGUCUUCUUUACAGGGGUGGGUUCUGCUUUAGCCUUCUCCUUUGCAGGUUCUGCUUUAGCCUUCUCCUUCACAGCUUCUGCUUUAGCCUUCUCCUUUGCAGGGUCUGGCUUAGUCUUCUUUACAGGGGUGGGUUCUGCUUUAGCCUUCUCCUUUGCAGGUUCUGGUUUAGCUUCAUCCUUUACAGGUGCAGGUUCUGGCUUAGCCUUCCUUACAGGGGUGGGUUCUGCUUUAGCCUUCUCCUUUGCAGGUUCUGCUUUAGCCUUCUCCUUCACAGCUUCUGGCUUAGUCUUCUUUACAGGGGUGGGUUCUGCUUUAGCCUUCUCCUUUGCAGGUUCUGGUUUAGCUUCAUCCUUUACAGGUGCAGGUUCUGGCUUAGCCUUCCUUACAGGGGUGGGUUCUGCUUUAGCCUUCUCCUUUGCAGGUUCUGGCCUAGCCUUCUCUUUUACAGAUUCUGGACUAGCUUUCUCCUUCACAGGUUCUGCUUUAGCCUUCUCCUUCACAGGGGUGGGUUCUAGCUUAGCAUUCUCCUUCACAGGUACAGGCUUAGCCUUUUCUUUCAAAGGUGCAGCCUUGUCUUCCUCCUUCACAGGUACAGGCUUAGCCUUUUCUUUCAAAGGUGCAGCCUUGUCUUCCUCCUUCACAGGAACAGGCUUAGCUUUUUCUUUAGUUGGUUCUGGUCUAGCUUUCGCUUUAGGGAGCUCUGGCUUAACUUUCUCCUUAGCAGGCUCUGGCUUGGCUUUUUCCUUUACAGGCUCAGGCUUUGCUUUCUCCUUCAUGGUUUCUGGUUUAGCUUUUUCCUUAACAGCUUCUGGCUUUACCUUCUCUUUAGCAGGUUCUUUUUUAGCUUUGUCCUUCACAGGUUCUGCCUCAGCUUUCUCCUUCAUGGGUACUGGCUUAGCUUUUUCUUUUGCAGGUGCAGGUUCUGGUUUAGUCUUCUCUACUGCUGGUUCUGGCUCAGUUUUCUCCUUCAGAGCUUCUUUCUUAGCCUUUUCUUUCAGGGUCUUCAUUUUCUCCUUCACUGGUUCUGGCUUAACCUCCUCCCUUGUGGGCACUGGCUUUGCAGUUUCUUUUACAGUUAUUUUCUUAGCGGUUUCCUUUCCAGGUUCAAGCUUAAGUUCUUCCUUUUUGGGCUUAGGCUCAGCUUUCUCCUUCACAGGUUCUGGUGUAGCCUUCUCUUUUACAAGUUCUUCCUUAGCUCUCUCCUUUUUGGGCUCUGGCUUUGCCUUCUCUGCAAUGGGCUUUGGUUUGGCCUUGUCCUUAGGAGAUUCUGGCCUAGGUUUCUCCUCCUUGAAUUCUACCAUAGCUUCUUCCUUAUCGGUAGUAGGUUCUGGUUUAGCCUUCUCCUUUACGGAUUCUAGCUUGGCUUUCUGCUUUUCUGGUUCUGGCUUAGUCUUCUCCGUAAUGGGUUCUUGCUUAGGUUUCUCUUUUUCAGAUUUUGGCUUAGCUUUUUCCUUUACCGAUGCAGGCUCUGGCUUAGCUUUUACCUUUACCGAUGCAGGCUCUGGCUUAGCUUGCACCUUUACCGAUGCAGGCUCUGGCUUAGGUUCUUCUUUUACAGAUGCAGGCUCUGGCUUAGCUUUUUCCUUUACCGAUGCAGGCUCUGGCUUAGCUUGCACCUUUACCGAUGCAGGCUCUGGCUUAGCUUUUUCCUUUACCGAUGCAGGCUCUGGCUUAGCUUGCACCUUUACCGAUGCAGGCUCUGGCUUAGCUUUUUCCUUUACCGAUGCAGGCUUAGGUUCUUCUUUUACAGGUUCUGGUUUAUCUUUUUCCUUCACAGGUACAGGUGGAGGUGCAGGUUCUGAAUUUUGUGAAAUAUGAAGUGAUACAGAGUAUAGACACAUGUUGGAGGGAAGCUUUUGUUUCUAUGCAACAUUAAGCAAGUCAUCAAGAUGCGUUGAAAUAUAGUGAAAGCUGCAUUUUCUAUGGUAUAUUCUAGUUUUCAUAGAUAGCAACGCAUAGCAUUAGUUAGAAGUGGAUUAUAAACACUUAAUGUAUCACUGUCAGAUGUUAGCAUACAUGCAAGAUUUAGUUUCUCAGUGAAGCCUUUUUAACUUGCCCUUUUGAAUCUCCAUUGAGUGCUAGACAUGAUGUGAAUCUGGUGUGAUUGCACCAGUAAAUCAAAGGUUAUUUUGUUGUUAUUUGCUAUUGGCUUCUAGUUCCUCUGUCCUGUACUUUUCUCAUCCUUUCAGCUUCAGUUACUUUCUCCACUACUACUCCCUCUACCUCUACCAAUAACAGCUAUUUCUGUUUGCAAACAUUGGUUUCAAUAAUAUUAAGAUUCCAUAAUGUCAUAAAGUCUUCGUGAAAACAGGCCAUUUUCGUGGAGGCUGCAUUUGUUUAAGGAUAUGUGUAUGUGCAUAUCUGUCCUAUAUGUAACUCUGUGAAUCUGUUGCGACUAGAUUUACCACCCUGAGACUGAAAAUGACAUAUCAAGCACUUUGUAUUUUUGAUAGUGUUAAAAAUGCUGAAAAUGCCUAUUAGGUGUAUUCUUUCAUUUAGGUAACCCUGAAGUAAAGUUGAAGUUUUGGAAAAGUUGUUGUUUUCUUGUUACCUUCCUGCUUCAGCUCUUGUAAAGACUUCACUUUUAUCCAGCGUUUGCUGGUGACGUUAACUCCUCCAUCAACUUUUUCUUCAGUCACUUCCUCCUGUGCAGGCUCAACUCUGACAGUCUCUUCUGUUUGUAAACAUAGGCUUCAAUAGUAAACACUUUGUUUUCCAAUUUUCUAAUGUAAACUUGUUAAUAGUUUUUUGUGAAACUUGUGAUUUUUCUCUGCCUUAGCGAUAUACUGUAUGUCAUCGAUCCAAGAAGACAUUGUUCAUGUGUCUGACUAGUAUGUAGAAUAUAGUUGGAUGCAUACAGUUAUGUUAAUACUGGGCAGAUAGCUGUGGAUACUAUCUAAAUCUUAUCCUCUGGUGUACAGAUACCAUUGGCUUACCUAGAGGGUAUGAUGUCUAAUGUGUCAAGAGUAUAAUUUCUUGUGUCUACCUCCAGUAUCCUUUUGUGAAGACUUUGGCCACCUUUUCUCAUUGUACAAGAAACCCACCGCCAUAUUUCUCUACAAGAACAUUAGUCACUCGUCUUGAAGGAUAACGCUAAAAAUGUCCAAACAUUAGUCACUCGUCUUGAAGGAUAGCGCUAAAAGUGUCCAUUAAAGCCUCGGUUUGAUCGUUCAUGUGUAAGUGAAAAGCUUAGGUUUCAAGUUUGGUCCUUGUACCUCCAGGCUUCAGCUCUCCUACAGCUUUAGCUCCUUCCUCAGUCACUUUCUCCUCCAGUGGUUCAGGUUUUUUCUCCUUUUCAGGCAGUUCCUCAGCAGUGACAGUCUCUUCUGUUAGUGAACAUAGGUUUAAGUAGUACUAACCUUGUUUUCUGAUGAUCAGUAUUGUAAGCUUUUUAUUAUUUCUUGUUGUUUUUUAGCUUCAACAUCAUGCUAGCAAUAUUUUUGCCAUCUUUUUGAUCUUAGUCUAGGAUUUACUUCUCAAGAUAUCAAAAGCUUGGUGUUGUAGUAGAAUAUCCAAAAAGUAUCACCAAGUAGUGGCCCUUUGUAUGAUUUUAUGUAGAUAUGUAGGCUGGAGGUUGUUUAUGAAUUUUUCAUUUAUGAAUGUUACUGCUGGUCAUAUUGAUAGUUACUGAUCUAGUUUACUCAAAUACCUUUUUUUGUCAUCUGUCAAAAUCUUGAAUGCCCUUUUCAAGCUUUCAGUUUGAUCACAUCGUGUUAAUCUUUACUCUUGUUAGCUUAAUUAACAAAAUAAUGCUUAUGCGUCUAAGAUGAGGCCUAUAUGUUACUAAACAUGGUCAACUUCAUGUUUUUAGUUUCCCAUGCAAAUCAAGAGAUAAGCAGUUUGUUACACUCAGAUUUAAAUAUGUCAGUGCCAGUUAUGUUAAGGAAAUCCAAUGUUUAAUAGUAGUCAUUGCAUCGGAGAUGUCAACUUUGAUAUGAGAGUGCAUGAAAUGUAGUUGAUGACUGCUCAAUGUGAUUGUACUAAAUGGCUGGGAUGUAUACUGUAAGUGUGUGAGUGAUCAAUCUAUAUGAAUGUAAAUUAUACUCAAUGUUUUUCCUCCUGUCUGGUGAUGCUGCUAAUUGUAAUUGUUUUAGUUAUUUAGGACAGAGGCUAGUGUGCUUAAAGGGCACAUAGCAAGCAAACAGUGACAUUAUUGCUGUUCUAUGCAUUUUAGCAAGCAGCUGGAUUUUGUUGGUGGAAGAUGGAAGCUUGUUGAUGAGCAGUAUAAUAUACAAAGUAAUGGGUUACAUUUGUAAGUUUAAAUUAUUUCCACCACAGGGUACUGUGUGUACUGGGUCUCCAUUUUUCACUUAUGUUCUGGCCUUACCUUUAUCCUUCUUCUCCUCUUCCUCCUCUUCCUUUCUGGCUUCAAGUUUGAACUUUACUGCCUCUUUUUCAGCUUUUGUGGCUUUUAGGUCUGUUGAAAUAGACAGGCUUGUGAGGGGAAAAUGGACUCUUCCUUCCCAGUUUAUAUUUUUAAACCAAACUCAAACUAGUAAUGUACCUUGAAUGAUUUUGUAUACUUCUUCUCUGGUCUUCUGCUGCUUGGAUACCUUCUCUUGUUCAAGAACUAAAAAGUAAGUACAUUUAUGAGCUCAUGUAUGAAAGACCUGAUAGAAAAAGCUGACAGGACAGGUAUUAGUUUGAUACAGACAAUUAGUAAAACAGCAAGCAGACACAAAUAUGGGGUUCAAUUAGAGGAUAUUAAAAUAGUAAUUUAUGAUUGUCAGCUUAGUUAACAUGUUAUGAAAUAAUACGUUAUCAAAUUGCCCAUGCAAAUGGAACUCUAAGAUUAAUUUAGUUGAAUACGCAGGGUAGCGUCACUUUAUUUUGAACUUUAAUUCACAGUGGACUUGUGCAUCACCAUGAACAUGUGGUCUUUCAUGUGUAACACUGGGUAGCUGAACCAACAGCCCUCCAUAGCUGCAUAGUAAAGUCAUGGCAGUGCAUGAGUUUAAUUGCUAACCACUCAUCAGUAGGACUUCACAGUGUGUGGUGUAUGUCACGUAUAAAUGCCACUGGGCCUUAUUUUUGACAGUCUCACCAGGAAUGUAUCCCGUUCAGAGAUGCGGAUUACGUCACCAUUACAAUUUGGGUAGUGCGUCUCAAUACAGUCUGCAGUCCCUAUGUACAGACUCCAUUGCAUUGUAUUGAUACAUAAUUUUCCAUUUGUAGGAUACAUAGACAACUUCAUACAGACUUAACUUAAGUGUGAUUGCUAUUACACAAAUCCAGUUAAUAAUCUGUUACUUUGACAAAAAAAAAAUGCCAGUAGAAUAGCAAGAUUACAAGGCCUCAGCAUUUCUACUGUUAAGCAAUAAUGAUGGAGAUUAAUGACAGGUUAAAAGCGAAAAGCUGAUGUAUUGAUGACAUUUUGUAUUUUAACACACAUGUCUACAGAACAGCAUAACAAUUAGCAAUCUAAGUUAGCAAAACGAAUGUAAUGGGGUAAUGAAAUGAAUGACAUAGUAAUGUGUAUUUUUGUUUGAGGCCUACCUCACAAUCCUCUCCCUUAAGAAAGCAUACCUGAUAUAAAUUACACUGAUACCUUUUUUCAAGCCUUGGCUUGUUUCUUCCUCAAUGCCAUAGUGAAGCCUGUUGCGUCUCAGCUGCUUGCUUCUGGCCCUCUUGAUUUCGUUGUUGUUGUUGUUCGCAUCAUCGUCAGCGUCGUCCAAAACAGAGAGAUCCUCAGCUGGAAAAACACCAGCCUCAGUUAUGAUGUCGGAAUCAUCAGACUUUCCUGAUUCAGUUAGAUUGAUGCUAGAUUCUUUUGUCUGUCCUGCGAUGUUGUCCAGAGUGUCUUGAUCUUCGUCAGGUAAGCCUGAAUCACUCUCGUCUGGUUCAAAUAGAGCAAUAUCAAGUGUGAGCUGUUCUUCAGAAUCAUCCACAGUGAUCCCAGUGUCAUGAUCAUAAUCCUCAUCAUCAUCAGAAUCAGAGUCUUUGUCCACAAGCUCAAUCAGAGUUAAUUGAAGUGCAAUAGGUUCUUCAUGAUCAUCAGGAAUUUCAUCUCCAGCCUCACUGAUGUUAGACUCAUUCCCGACAGGCUUAGGAACAGAAAUGUCAGCGGUUAUUAGAUCUUCAAAAUAAUUCUCAAAAUCAUCAUCAUCCUCGGAUAUGUCUGAAUCAUUGGCAUCAGUGUCAGACCCAACUGUGUUAACGUCAGGAGUUCUUUGUUCUUCAGGUUUGUCUAAAGUAUCAGAGAUUUCAGACAUUUCUAAAUCAUUUGAGUCGACUGGCUCAGGUGCAGCAGUCUCAGUUUCAGCAUCAGCUGUAGGCUCUAUUUCAUCUGCAACUGCAGUAAUCUCAGAAUCGUCUGAGACGACUGGUUC
ensembl:lncRNA